rnacentral:rRNA from 1 species
CCUACGGGCGGCAGCAGUGAGGAAUAUUGGUCAAUGGCCGAGAGGCUGAACCAGCCAAGUCGCGUGAGGGAAGACGGCCCUACGGGUUGUAAACCUCUUUUGUCGGGGAGCAAAGAGAGUCACGUGUGACUCAUUGAGAGUACCCGAAGCAAAAGCAUCGGCUAACUCCGUGCCAGCAGCCGCGGUAAUACGGAGGAUGCGAGCGUUAUCCGGAUUUAUUGGGUUUAAAGGGUGCGCAGGCGGAGGUGCAAGUCAGCGGUCAAAUUGCGGGGCUCAACCCCGUACUGCCGUUGAAACUGCAUCCCUUGAGUGCGCGAGAAGUAUGCGGAAUGCGUGGUGUAGCGGUGAAAUGCGUAGAUAGUAGGAGGAACACCGGUGGCGAAGGCGGCCUGCUGGACUGUGACUGACGUUGAGGCCCGAAGGCGUGGGGAGCAAACAGGAUUAGAUACCCUUGUAGUC